rnacentral:rRNA from 1 species
UACGGAGGGUGCGAGCGUUGUCCGGAAUCACUGGGCGUAAAGGGCGCGUAGGUGGCGCGGGCAGUCAACGGUGAAAGUUCGGGGCUCAACCCUGAAUCGGCCGUCGAUACUCCCGUGCUUGAGCACUGUAGAGGCAGAUGGAAUUCCGGGUGUAGCGGUGGAAUGCGUAGAGAUCCGGAAGAACACCGGUGGCGAAGGCGGUCUGCUGGGCCAAGACUGACGCUGAGGCGCGACAGCGUGGGGAGCAAACAGGG